rnacentral:ribozyme from 13 species
GAAGGAUUGGCCAAUAAAAAUUAAAAAUUAAAAAACCGAAAAAAAACUACCAAGACAUUUGAGUCUUUCCAAUUCUUCCAAAGCA